rnacentral:tRNA from 1 species
GCUCAGGUGGCGAAAUUGGCAGACGCGCCAGCUUGAGGUGCUGGUGGGAGCAAUCCCUUGGAGGUUCAAGUCCUCUUCUGAGCA